CUUCCUCUAUUCCAUGGGGGCUCUGGCCACCUACAUCCGGCCUGCAGAACAAGUACCGAGAGAACAACAAAGGGCCCAUGUUGGACUUUCUGGCCACGGCAGUGUUCGCCUUCAUGUGGUUAGUGAGUUCAUCGGCGUGGGCCAAGGGUCUGUCAGACGUGAAGAUGGCCACGGACCCAGAGAACAUCAUCAAGGAGAUGUCCAUGUGCCGCCAGACAGGGAACACGUGCAAGGAGCUGAGAGACCCUGUGACCUCGGGGCUCAACACCUCGGUGGUAAGCCCUGGGAAGCUGGCUGGACUGCCUGGAGGAGGGAAGCUGGGAAAAUCGCAGCCUGGCAGGGGGAGUGGGAAAGAGAGAGAAAGAGAGAAAAAGAGAGAGGAAGAGAGAGAGAGAGAGAGAGAGAGAGAGAGAGAGAGAAUAUGAAAGGAGAAUCGGGAGAUCCAAGGGGACUUCCUGGAGAAGGCAUGUCAACACCAGAGCAUUGAAGGAUGAGACAGCAUUUGUUAAUCACUGUAACACCACAAACAGGUCCCCCAGGGGAGAACAUGAGGCCUUCUCUGUAGACUGGGCUUGGGACACCUGGAUCCGAGAUCCAGCCUUAGUGGUGUCGUCUCUAGCAACUCAGUAGCCUCUUGCACCUCAGCCUCCUCCUGUGCAACAUGAAAUAACCUGGACGCCCCCUACUGGCUGGAGUCAGACUCUGCGCUCAGGUCCCCGACUCUGCUCUCUGCAAGUUCUGUGACCUGAAACUAGGCACCCAGCCUUUUUGGGGAUUCAGUUUGAAGACCUAAUCAUGGCCCUGCCUCCAAGUUGAGUAUUUAGUAAACAAUUAACAUACAGCAUACGAAGUGCCCAGAAAAGGGCCGGGCACCAGGUAAGUCCUAUACAGAUGCUCCUGUUUCCUGUCUUACUAUGCUGGCAGCUUAGCCUGGCAGGGCCACAGUGUAAGAUGGAGACAUUAACUCCUGCCUCAAAACUGAUUUCAAAUGUACAACAUGUAAAGUGCCUAGAAGAGAGUGUGGCAUAAAAGGCAAAAGGCAAAGAGAGCAUUUUGGGUUUUAAUAAAUAUUUUACCUAAGUUCCA
rnacentral:lncRNA from 1 species